AUAUCUGCACAGUGGCAGUGUCAUAACCAAUGAAGUUAAUCCAAGGUGUGAUUAUUGCUAAUUGAAAACUUCCCAUGCCCUGCCCUGAUCACUUGAAAUAUAUCUGUGCAAGUGCAGCGUGUCUUUCUGUUGCUAUCAGA